rnacentral:sRNA from 1 species
UCACUGGGGACGUGUUGGGGACGGGUGGCCGCAUCUGGGUUCGUGGGGACCGCGUGGUCAAGUGGCUCUUCCCCGGCCCCCUCGCCGUGUUU